UGGGGAAUAUUGGACAAUGGGCGGAAGCCUGAUCCAGCCAUGCCGCGUGUGUGAAGAAGGGCUUUUGGUUGUAAAGCACUUUAAGCGAGGAGGAGGCUACUUGGAUUAAUACUCUAGGAUAGUGGACGUUACUCGCAGAAUAAGCACCGGCUAACUCUGUGCCAGCAGCCGCGGUAAUACAGAGGGUGCGAGCGUUAAUCGGAUUUACUGGGCGUAAAGCGUGCGUAGGCGGCUUCUUAAGUCGGAUGUGAAAUCCCUGAGCUUAACUUAGGAAUUGCAUUCGAUACUGGGAAGCUAGAGUAUGGGAGAGGAUGGUAGAAUUCCAGGUGUAGCGGUGAAAUGCGUAGAGAUCUGGAGGAAUACCGAUGGCGAAGGCAGCCAUCUGGCCUAAUACUGACGCUGAGGUACGAAAGCAUGGGGAGCAAACAGG
rnacentral:rRNA from 1 species